rnacentral:rRNA from 1 species
UAGCUAGUUGGUGAGGUAACGGCCCACCAAGGCGACGAUCGGUAGCCGACCUGAGAGGGUGAUCGGCCACAUUGGAACUGAGAGACGGUCCAAACUCCUACGGGAGGCAGCAGUGGGAAUAUUGGGCAAUGGGCGAAAGCCUGACCCAGCAACGCCGCGUGAGGGAAGAAGGUUUUCGGAUUGUAAACCUCUGUCCUUGGGGACGAAGGAAGUGACGGUACCCAAGGAGGAAGCCCCGGCUAACUACGUGCCAGCAGCCGCGGUAAUACGUAGGGGGCGAGCGUUGUCCGGAAUGACUGGGCGUAAAGGGCGCGUAGGCGGCUCGGUAAGUUAGAAGUGAAAGUCCUGCUUUCAAGGUGGGAAUUGCUUUUAAUACUGUCGGGCUUGAGUGCAGAAGAGGUAAGCGGAAUUCCAAGUGUAGCGGUGAAAUGCGUAGAGAUUUGGAAGAACACCAGUGGCGAAGGCGGCUUACUGGGCUGUAACUGACGCUGAGGCGCGAAAGCGUGGGGAGCGAACAGGAUUAGAUACCCUGGUAGUCCACGCGGUAAACGAUGAAUGCUAGGUGUAGGGGGUAUCGACCCCUCCUGUGCCGGAGUAAACGCAAUAAGCAUUCCGCCUGGGGAGUACGGCCGCAAGGUUGAAACUCAAAGGAAUUGACGGGGGCCCGCACAAGCAGCGGAGCACGUGGUUUAAUUCGACGCAACGCGAAGAACCUUACCAGGUCUUGACAUCGAUGUAAAGCCCAAGAGAUUGGGUGUCUCUUCGGAGGACAGAAGACAGGUGGUGCAUGGUUGUCGUCAGCUCGUGUCGUGAGAUGUUGGGUUAAGUCCCGCAACGAGCGCAACCCUUAUUGUCAGUUACUAACGGGUGAAGCCGAGGACUCUGAUAAGACCGCCGGGGACAACUCGGAGGAAGGUGGGGACGACGUCAAAUCAUCAUGCCCCUUAUGACCUGGGCUACACACGUGCUACAAUGGUGAAAACAAAGAGAAGCGAGGCCGUAAGGCGGAGCGGAUCUCAAAAAAAUCAUCUCAGUUCGGACUGUGGGCUGCAACCCGCCCACACGAAGUUGGAGUUGCUAGUAAUCGCGGAUCAGAACGCCGCGGUGAAUACGUUCCCGGGCCUUGUACACACCGCCCGUCACACCAUGGGAGUUGGGAGCACCCGAAGUCAGCGAGAUAACCGGAUGGGGUCAGCUGCC